AACAUGGACAGAUGGCAAUAUGGAGAUUAUGCACGUCAAUUGAUUUUGUUUCUACGUCGAAAACUGUGGUUAAUAAGGCAAUAAAUGAAAAAAAAAACAUAAAUAAAAAAUUAUAUUUUUUUUACUGACAAUGGUCGAGUUUCACCGGUAAGGGACCAUAUUGCUUGGUAAUUUCUUGUUUAAAUUGCAAUACAAUUUACAAUUCCAAUUGUUUUGCUAAAUGUUUUAUGUUUUUAUUUUAUUUUCUCACAUCUUAUGGGCACUCGCCAAACCUAAAGCUAUCGGAUGAUGAACGGGACAACAUUAUUGACACCCUUGUUGAUCUUCUUAAUGAAGUUUUUCCGUAGUAACCAGCGUUCUGUGGAAUGCAGAGAGAAACUGAUUAAGUUAAAAGCAAACGCUCUGAGUGUUUCUACGACGGAUAUAACAACAACAUUGGAAGAUUCUGUUCAAAGCGCAAACCAGGCCCUUGAAGUUUUAAAAAUCCCCAACAGUCUCGAUGCAGAAACAGAGACAACAGUGACAAACCUGCUCAAUUUAACGGAUAAUCUGCAAAGUAUAUGCACAUCUGUUAAAACGGAAAUAGAGAAAAAAAUUGACAUGGGAAAACGCGACACUGAAACAGUCUAUGUUGAAUGUGGACCAGCUAGACCACGUUUAACCUUCAAUUCAGGAGAAAUAAACAUACACUUUGUUUUAUAUAUUUUGUGUUUUACGGCAGUAUAUGUAUCUUUGUAUAAUUAUAUAUUUUUGUAUCGACCUGCUCGAUCGAUUCUACGUACACCAUACAUAAUUCUACAUGAAAUAGAGCUUCGGCAAAUUGAACAUACUGCGUAAGCAGUAAAGACACUACAACACAAGUUGUUAGAACUCGAACGCAACGUCCAACAACGAAACUAAUUGUGAACCAAAGAUUUGCUAACAAAAGAACCGGUUUUCUUGAACGCAUAAUUAGUGAACAUCUUUUUGAAAAGCGGUACAAACGCUUUUUUAUCAAAUGAUGAUUACCCAUAAACGAACCGACAAUUUAAACAUUUUCCUUGUAAGCUGUGUUCUUUGAAAGAAUAUAAUCCAUACAUUAAUUUUUAAAUACAUGUAUAUGAAUAUUGUUUAAAAAAAAUUGCCUAAAUGAUGAUUAUUGGCUUUUGCGACACAAUAGAGUUUUAAGUUUAUGUUAACGGUAUUUCAUUGGUGCUGAACCCGAUUUCAUGUUCAGCAGUUACUGUAUAUAAGGAUUUUCAUGUGGAUCUUUUUGAAAUUAAUGGUGAUUUUCUAUGUUGUUGUUUUUUGCCGAAUAAUGUUAUUAGUCCUUAACAAAAAAUUUCGGAAAAACACAUUGUUUUUAAGCCAAUUAAGAAAAAUAAUGCGAUAAUCUUUUUGAAUCCUAUAUGCUUGACACAAUUCAUAUUCAUUGAAUAAUGGAAGAACAGUAUCAGCGCGGUUAUCGCAUAGACUCCUGAAGACAUAUAAGAUAAAUAUAAUAUUGCGUAACAAAAUAUAAAUUUAAGUUCGUUUUCUACUAACAUUGGAAUAUUGAAUUUCCUUCAUGCACCCAAUAUUGCUUUCAUUAUUUGGUUUGUUUCAACCUAUAAAUAAAUUUGCAUUGAUUGACCAUGCCAAUAUGUUAAUUUACUUAUUGUUUUAGAUGUGUUAUUAUUGCCUGUUUUGUAUCGUUAGAGUUUCUUCAUUUAGAAGUAAAGGUCAGUUCACUUGCCCCUUAGUAAAUUUAAAAUGACACAUGUAAUUGAAGAACAUGAAAACCGUUUGGUAUGUUAAUUUUAAUGUUUUAUUAGCCUAGUAAAAUUCAUUUUGUUACUCCUAGGCAACACAAAGUUAAUACUUUAUUUAAAUAAUGCAUAUGCAUUAUAUAACAAAACUUGAUAACAUGUUUUUGUAAACAGUGUAUUUUGUUAAAUGUAAUAAACUACGAAAAAGAGUUCAAAAGAAUUCGUCACACAGAAGAGGACGAUUAAAUGAUACGACUUUCUGGAAACUUUCUCAUUUUUGAAAAUGAUUGCAGGAACAGUGAAUUAACUAUUUGUAAAUUAUACUUCUUAAAUGGGUGAUAAUAAUGAUACUGAUGGUGAUGAUGAUGAUGAUGAUGAUGAUGAUGAUGAUGAUGAUGAUGAUGAUGAUGAUGAUGAUGAUGAUGAUGAUGGUGAUGAUGAUGAUGAUAGUGAUGAUGAUAGUGAUGAUAGUGAUGAUGAUUGGGAUGAUGAUGGUGGUGAUGAUGAUCAUGAUGAGUAAGAAGAUGAUGAUAAAUGAAUGACGAUUAAUUAAUGAGGCGGAUAACAUUUAGCAAAUUCCCAGUAUCGAGUUAUGCAUGAGUCUGCCUUAAAAUCGUAAAUAGAGAACGAGGGUAACGAUGUGUUAUCUUUGAUUGCCAAAAAAGAAAUUGUAAUGAUAUGUGAAGAGUAUGUUAUACUAUAUACAUAAACAUAUAAUAUA